rnacentral:lncRNA from 10 species
CAGGUUCUGACGAAAGGACGCCAAGACUCAUUCUCCAGUAGCUCUAUUCAAAGAGCUCCAGGUUUUAUCUUUGCAGGUUCUUGACAUCAGGGCCAGCAAUUCUACUUCAAAUAAACAGAUCCAAAUAAGCAGGUGAAGCAUAUCUUUCUUCCUCCAGUUUGAGAAUCCUCAAGACCUGCCUUCUAAUGCUACCUGGGCCAAUACGACAAGGCAGGGUCUAUUUGCCAAUAGUGGCCUCUCCACUAAUGCUCAGCUGUUAGUCCUUGUGAGCAGAGCUUCCCUUCAACCCUAGAUUUUAAGUUGAAGGUUAAACUGGAUAACUUUCUGGCUUACUUUCCCUCUGAUGACUCCUCCCAACCCAAGAAGGUCCUCACUAUGCAGGUUAAAAACUCUGCCAUUGACAGAUUUAUAGAGACUGGGACUGUGCAGGAAAUGCUGCUCCAGAAUCACUCCCUAGCAUUCAUCAAGCACAUCUUGUACUGCAGGUGGGCAGAGCUGCAAAGCAUUGAAGAGAUUAUGCAAGGAUGACAAGAUGUCCACAACCAUAUUUAAGUACACAUAGUUCUAUCCAUGGUCAGAUGCUGUCAAUCACUGGGGAAACAGUGUUCCCAUCUGAAACGAACAAACUAAUACACCAUCUAAAGAAAUGCAUUUGGGGCAACUCAGGGAGCUCAGAGAAACCACAGAAGAUAUGAAAAAAAGAACCAGGGCCAAUGAAACAUGGAAGAAAUUGAUUCUACUUAAUCCAAGUGACAGGAAGUUAAAGACCUACUCCUUAGUCUAAUGGAAUACCAAAUCUGGAGUCUGGGGAUUCCUCGGUUCAUGUAUUCAACCAGUUGUUCCAUUCAGAUGAUAUAGGUUGUACUCUGACCACAGCCUCCAGCCAGGAGGAACAAGAAAUCGAGGAGGAGACAGAGUCUGGUAACAGUGUCAGCUUUAAGAU